AUACGUAGGUGACAAGCGUUAUCCGGAUUUACUGGGCGUAAAGGGCGCGUAGGCGGACUGGCAAGUCAGAUGUGAAAUUCCUGAGCUCAACUCGGGCGCUGCUUCUGAAACUGCAGGUCUUGAGUGCUGGAGGGGAGAGCGGAAUUCCUAGUGGAGCGGUAAAAUGCGUAGAUAUUAGGAAGAACACCGGUGGCGAAGGCGGCUAUCUGGGCAGUAACUGGAGCUGAGGCGCGAAAGCAUGGGGAGAAAACAGGAUUAGAUACCCUGGUAGUCCACGCCGUAAACGAUGAAUUCUAGGUGUAGGGAGGAUCGAGUCCCUCUGUGCCGCAGUUAACACAAUAAGUACUCCGCCUGGGGAGUACGGCCGCAAGGUUGAAACUUAAAGGAAUUGACGGGG
rnacentral:rRNA from 1 species